CUGGAUUGGGCGUUCUGGAGAGGUGGUCAGCAUUCCCCAUAAGAACAUGAAUUCGGUAUCUGGUCGGGGGCCUGGACCUUCAUGGUCAAGUUGAAGGUUUCAGAGGAUGAGAAUGCGCUGACAUAGUGAGGAGACGUCUGGGCGUCACAUUCUGCAGACAGAAGUUUUAGCUGGACCCGGCGAACUUGCCGCUGUAGAAUAACGGAGAGAAAGUGAUUUCCAUAAUUAACUAAUGAGUCCGAGACGACAUCUGGUCCCUGCAUAAUAAAUGGGUCCGGGAACAUUGUAUCCUGAGCGCGGAGAAUGGCGACCGCAGCCGCUCAGCGCUGUGAAUAGAGAAGCGUCUGACUGAUCCACCGGCCGCGGCCAAAACCCGCCGACGCUAAUUGCCUUUCAAAUGCCCUCAUUAAUCAAAGCGCGAAGAAUCAGUGACAGGAGGCCUGUCAUCGUCUCCCGACUCCUCGCCACUCACCUCGCAGCGUGGGGCCCAACCCUGCCCUUUUAAAUGGAAGUGCGCUGCCUGCUCACCGCCGCGCGCACCUGGGCUUAUCUCCGAAAGGUCUGCACAGGCGCCGCGGCCCAAUCCGUCUCCGGAGGCCAAUUUACUUGUUGUUUAAUGAUUCCUAACUUUCAUGUUUGUAAAUGAGCGCGCCGCACGAUAAUACCGAUA